UCGGCUUUUGGAGGGCAAGUCCGGUGCCAGCAGCCGCGGUAAUUCCAGCUCCAAUAGCGUAUAUUAAAGUUGUUGCAGUUAAAAAGCUCGUAGUUGAAUUUCGGGGUUAGUAGGUUGGUCAUGCCUCUGGUAUGUACUGGUCUCACUGAUUCCUCCUUCCUGAUGAGCCGUAAUGCCAUUAAUUUGGUGUUGCGGGGAAUUUGGACUGUUACUUUGAAAAAAUUAGAGUGUUUAAAGCAAGCUAACGCUUGAAUACAUUAGCAUGGAAUAAUGAAAUAGGACGUUCGAUCCUAUUUUGUUGGUUUCUAGGAUUGACGUAAUGAUUAAUAGGGAUAGUUGGGGGCAUUAGUAUUCAAUUGUCAGAGGUGAAAUUCUUGGAUUUAUUGAAGACUAACUACUGCGAAAGCAUUUGCCAAGGAUGUUUUCAUUAAUCAAGAACGAAAGUUAGGGGAUCGAAGACGAUCAGAUACCGUCGUAGUCUUAACCAUAAACUAUGCCGACUAGGGAUCGGAUGAUGUUAAUUUUUUAAUGACUCAUUCGGCGCCUUACGGGAAAC
rnacentral:rRNA from 1 species